rnacentral:rRNA from 1 species
UACAGAGGUCCCAAGCGUUGUUCGGAUUCAUUGGGCGUAAAGGGUGCGUAGGCGGCGCGGUAAGUCGGGUGUGAAAUCUCGGAGCUUAACUCCGAAACUGCAUUCGAUACUGCCGUGCUUGAGGACUGGAGAGGAGACUGGAAUUUACGGUGUAGCGGUGAAAUGCGUAGAUAUCGAGAGGAACACCUGCGGCGAAGGCGGGUUGCUGGGCUGACACUGACGCUGAGGCGCGAAAGCCAGGGGAGCGAACGGG